rnacentral:rRNA from 1 species
AGAGUUUGAUCAUGGCUCAGGAUGAACGCUAGCGGCAGGCCUAAUACAUGCAAGUCGAGGGGCAUCACAGGUAGCAAUACUGGGUGGCGACCGGCAAACGGGUGCGGAACACGUACGGAACCUUCCUUCGAGCGGGGAAUAGCCCAGAGAAAUUUGGAUUAAUACCCCAUAAGAAUGUGGAUUGGCAUCAAUCAGCAUUU